rnacentral:tRNA from 2 species
UGACACGUAGCUCAACGGGUAGAGCAGCGGACUGUUAAUCCGCAAGGUGCAGGUUCGAAUCCUGCCGUGCCAG